AGUAACGCGUAGGUAACCUGCCUAUUAGAGGGGGAUAACUAUUGGAAACGAUAGCUAAUACCGCAUAACAGUAUGUAACACAUGUUAGAUACUUGAAAGAUGCAAUUGCAUCGCCAGUAGAUGGACCUGCGUUGUAUUAGCUAGUAGGUAGGGUAAAGGCCUACCUAGGCAACGAUACAUAGCCGACCUGAGAGGGUGAUCGGCCACACUGGGACUGAGACACGGCCCAG
rnacentral:rRNA from 1 species